rnacentral:hammerhead_ribozyme from 1 species
UUUCAGCUGACGAGUCGCGUAUGGGACGAAAUGCGCGUCCUGGAU